rnacentral:lncRNA from 1 species
CUUCCCCUACUUGGAAGCUGCACUGGUAAUGGAGCUUUUUCCCUUUAAGAAGUUGGCGUACCAGUAUGCGGAAAGUUUUGGAUACCUUGUUAAUUCUUUGUCAUCCAAAUCUACAUAGUAGAGGCCAUAGCUCGGUCCAUAGCCACCAAGUAACUCCAAACCAUCUAAGAAGGACCAGGCGAAAUACCCUCUUGUAUCCGAUCCAUUCCUGCAUUAUAUAGGUAGAGUGAACAAAAGAAAAGCUUUUUAGCCAAGUGCACAUGAGAAAGGCUUAGUCUACAUCAACUUGAAAAAUGAUUAAGAAAAGGAAAAAGUUAUGCUCUUAACCAAUUAACUUGCUGAAUUAGCAAUUAAGGCGCCUGCCUGUUGCCACAGUGCAAACAAAUAAAAUAAAGAUUUUAAGUCUAUGCAUUGAUGGUGUAAAAAGUAUUUACACAAAUCAGGUCACUUAUAAGGUACAGGUAAGUUCUUAUGACGAGCCUUAAUUUGUAAACUAAUAAAAAUGACAACACUACACUGAUCGCGUAAAAUAUCUUUACAAGGCCAAUGUAUGUAAUUUAAAUCCUACCCAACAUGAUUAAGAUAGUUGUCUCAACAUUUUAACUUGCAAGAAUGUAUAACUUUCUGAUUUGUUCAGUUUUUGGAAAGUGUUUUGCCAAAUUUACAAGAGGCAAAUAAGCUUGACCUUUCAUCUCUUCCAAAGAUAACAUCAAAGAUACGAUUCAGAGCUCUCUCUCUCUCUCUCUCUCUCUGCCUGCAUUACAGUCAAUAACUUUGUUAUAAGAGAUUUACCUUACAGCGUCAAGAACACUCCCAAUGUAGGCAUGCAAAUAUUCUAUUCUUGCUGUGUCAUUUAGUGUACCAUUACGCCGAGUCUUUUGACCUGCUAAAACAAAUCAUUAACCAUCUCAAACACUUUUCACUUCAGGAAUUUGAAGAAAGUCGCAAGAUUAUGCUAACAUCCUGAAAUCUUACAUUUGGAAUUCAGAGGAAACUACAGUAUAGCAGACAUUGCAACUUCAAACUUCAUCAUAUUUUUCCAGAGUACCCCACAACAGUAAGUGGGCU